rnacentral:rRNA from 1 species
UACGUAGGAGGCGAGCGUUAUCCGGAUUUAUUGGGCGUAAAGGGCAAGUAGGCGGUUGGGUAAGUUGGGUGUGACAUCUCCCGGCUCAACUGGGAGGGGUCAUUCAAGACUGCCUGACUGGAGGGCAGGAGAGGGAAGUGGAAUUCCUAGUGUAGCGGUGGAAUGCUCAGAUAUUAGGAAGAACACCAGUGGCGAAGGCGGCUUUCUGGCCUGCACCUGACGCUGAGAGGCGAAAGCUAGGGGAGCGAACGGG